rnacentral:rRNA from 1 species
CCCGCUGAACUUAAGCAUAUCAAUAAGCGGAGGAAAAGAAACUAACAAGGAUUCCCCUAGUAACUGCGAGUGAAGAGGGAAAAGCUCAAAUUUAAAAUCUGGCAGUUUCACUGUCCGAGUUGUAAUUUAGAGAAGUGUUGCCCGCGUUGGACCGUGUACAAGUCUCCUGGAACGGAGCGUCAUAGAGGGUGAGAAUCCCGUCUUUGACACGGACUACCAAGGCUUUGUGGUACGCUCUCGAAGAGUCGAGUUGUUUGGGAAUGCAGCUCAAAAUGGGUGGUGAAUUCCAUCUAAAGCUAAAUAUUGGCGAGAGACCGAUAGCGAACAAGUACCGUGAGGGAAAGAUGAAAAGCACUUUGGAAAGAGAGUUAAACAGUAUGUGAAAUUGUUGAAAGGGAAACGAUGGAGGUCAGUCGUGUCUGUGGGAUUCAGCCGUCUCUGGCGGUGUACUUCCCACAGACGGGUCAACAUCAGUUUUGGCUGGCGGAUAAAGGCAGGAGGAAGGUGGCACCCCCGGGUGUGUUAUAGCCUCUUGUUGCAUACGCUGGCUGAGACUGAGGAAUGCAGCUCGCCUUUAUGGCCGGGGUUCGCCCACGUUCGAGCUUAGGAUGUUGACAUAAUGGCCUUCAACGACCCGUCUUGAAACACGG